rnacentral:rRNA from 1 species
AUGAAGGAGGAGGGCGGCGGCAGCAGCCAGAAGCGGCGGGCGGAAUGGGCGUCGCUUCAGCCGGACCUCGUCCAGCUCAUCGCCGACUUCCUCCUCUCCACCAGCGGCGUCGACGAGUACAUGGCCAUGAGGGCCGUCUGCCCCAGCUGGCGCUCUUCCGUCGACAAGCCAUCUUCGCACGCGGCGGUCACCGACCUUCGUUUCCGCCCACGGCAGUGGGUCUUACUCAAUGGGGCAGACGACGACCAAGGCCGACCCCUCUUCCUCAACGUCACCACAGGACGCUUCCGCCGCCUGCGCCUCUCGGUGCUCCGUGACUACAUCCUCGUCGAUGCAUCCGACGGUCUCCUCGUCCUGGGGGACAGGGAGCGUCCGCAUGCCGCUCGUCUCCUCAACCCAUUGACUGGUGACAUGCUUCCUUUUGCGGCGCCAAUACCUCCGGGGUCUCAGGUGGCGGCAGCAAUCGCUCUCGCUGGCUCCGAACCAACGAUUAUCUUCUCAUUCCCACAGAUCCUCUGCAAAUACGUACUGCUCGGUGGUAAUGCGGUGGUUUACUCUGCUGAUCCCACGGGCCAGCUCUACGCGGUGAAGAUUCAUGAUGCUGCUUUGAAGGAGGAAGAGUCGUUCUGCCUCCGGAGCAUGGUCACCUGUGCAGGCAAUGUUUAUGUGCUCAGUUUGAAAGGAAUGUUAUAUAAGAUCGUUUGGACUGGUGGCCUUUGGUAUGCUGAGAGGAUACUGGAGAUUGAAAUGCACUACACUGGUGCUCUCGUGGAGUCUGCUGGUAAACUGCUGGUUGUUAGAGUGGAUCUCGAAAUCACUGAAUUUUUCAGCGUGGACGUUGAGCGGAAGGUACUUGAACCAAUCGAAAGUAUCAGAAGUUGUGCGCUCUUUCUAAGUUCUGGCAGGUGCGUGUUAGUUGACGCAGAUAAGGUUCCUUCCAUCAAGGGCAACUGCACUUACGGCAGUUUUGGUGGAAACAAGUUUUAUAACAUGUACACCAGGUAUGACCUCAGCGAUGCCAAGAAAGAAAACAUCACUGGCCCCCAGGUGCCUGGUUAUCUCUCAUGUUUGAUAGCUGAUAGUGAUAUCACUCGUGAAGGUCCUUUGAGCCUUGCUCAGGUUCUCCUCACACCCUAUCCAGAUGUUAAAGCUCAGCUAGACCGUAUCCGCUGCAAAAUCUAA